rnacentral:rRNA from 1 species
CACGUAGUUAGCCGUGGCUUAUUCGUCAGGUACCGUCACUUGCUUCGUCCCUGACAAAAGAAGUUUACAACCCGAAAGCCUUCUUCCUUCACGCGGCGUUGCUGGGUCAGGCUUUCGCCCAUUGCCCAAUAUUCCCCACUGCUGCCUCCCGUAGGAGUCUGGGCCGUGUCUCAGUCCCAAUGUGGCCGGCCAACCUCUCAGUCCGGCUACUGAUCGUCGCCUUGGUGGGCCGUUGCCCCACCAACUAGCUAAUCAGACGCGAGUCCAUCUCAGAGCGAUAAAUCUUUGACGUCCAGUGCCAUGCGACACAGACGUUUUAUGCGGUAUUAGCAGCUGUUUCCAGCUGUUAUUCCCCACUCCAAGGCAGGUUACUCACGCGUUACUCACCCGUCCGCCACUAGGGAUUCCCUUCCGUUGUCCGAAAACUCCUUCAGGGGUCCCCCGUUCGACUUGCAUGUGUUAAGCACGCCGCCAGCGUUCAUCCUGAGCCAGGAUCAAACUCU